rnacentral:rRNA from 1 species
CUAACACAUGCAAGCCGAGCGGUAUUGUCUUUCGGGACAGAGAGAGCGGCGUACGGGUGCGUAACACGUGUGCAACCUACCUUUAUCAGGAGAAUAGGCUUUCGAAAGGAAGAUUAAUACUCCAUAAUAUAUGAACAGGCAUCUGUUUAUAUUGAAAACUCCGGUGGAUAGAGAUGGGCACGCGCAAGAUUAGAUAGUUGGUGAGGUAGCGGCUCACCAAGUCGAUGAUCUUUAGGGGUCCUGAGAGGGAGAUCCCCCACACUGGUACUGAGACACGGACCAGACUCCUACGGGAGGCAGCAGUGAGGAAUAUUGGACAAUGGGUGAGAGCCUGAUCCAGCCAUCCCGCGUGAAGGAUGACGGUCCUAUGGAUUGUAAACUUCUUUUGUAUAGGGAUAAACCUUUCCACGUGUGGAAAGCUGAAGGUACUAUACGAAUAAGCACCGGCU